UCGUAACAAGGUUUCCGUAGGUGAACCUGCGGAAGGAUCAUUGUCGUGACCCUGACCAAAACAGACCGUGAACGUGUCAUCUUGCCUGCCAGCGGCGGCCCUGNCCGUCGCUUGGCCAAAGUCCUCGAUAACCUCCUCUCCUCGGAGCGGGGGCUCGGGGUAAAAGAACCCACGGCGCCGAAGGCGUCAAGGAACACUGUGCCUAACCCGGGGAAGCGGCUGGCUUGCUAGCUGCCCCUCGUGUUGCAAUGCUAUUUAAUCCACACGACUCUCGGCAACNGGAUAUCUCGGCUCUCGCAUCGAUGAAGNAACGUAGCGAAAUGCGAUACCUGGUGUGNAAUUGCAGAAUCCCGCGAACCAUCGAGUCUUUGAACGCAAGUUGCGCCCGAGGCCACUUGGCCGAGGGCACGCCUGCCUGGGCGUCACGCCAAACACGCUCCCACCCCUCAUCGGGUGGUGGGAUGCGGCAUGUGGCUCCCCGUCUUGCAAGGGGCGGUGGGCCGAAGAUGCGGCUGCCGGCGUAUCGUGCCGGACACAGCGCGUGGUGGGCGAACUCGCUUUACUUACCGCAGUGCAUCCGGCCCAUAGCCGACGUGAUGGCCUUAAGGACCCUAUGAACGGAGCGCAUGACGCUUCGACCGCGACCCCAGGU
rnacentral:rRNA from 1 species